GUGUGAGCCACUGUGCCUGGCUGGGAUUAGUGGCCUUUUAAAGGAACCCUGAAGAGCGCUCUCAAAUUCUUUUUGCUAUGUGAGGAUACAGUGAGAAUUCUACAGUUUGUGACCUAGAAAAGGGCCCUUGCCAGAAUCCAACCGUGUUGGCACCCUGAUCUGGAACUUCCAGCCUCCGGGACUGUGAGAAAUAAAUUUCUGUUGUUCUAAAAACCACCUAGACUAUGGCAGGCUCCCACUAAGGCAAUGUACUUGUUUGAGUCUGCUUUCAGUUCUUUGGAGGAUAUACCUAGGAACGGUAUAUUUCUGGGCCAUGUCAUGUGACAAUUCUAUGUUUUACUUUUUGGGGAACUGCACAGGUGGCUUUUUCUUUUUUUGCUUUUUUUUUUUUUUUUAAAGGGUCUUGUUCAGUUGCUUAGGAGGGAGUGCAGUGGCACAAUCUCAGCUCUCUGCAGUCUCAAGCUUCUGGGCCCAAGCGAUCCUUCCACCUCAGCCUCACAAGUAGCUGGGACUACAGGCACACACCACCAUGCCCAGCUAAUUUUUAUAGUUUUUGUAGAGACAGUUUUGCCAUGUUGCCCUGUUCUCGAAUUCCUGAGCUCAAGCGAUCCGCCCACCUCCACCUCCCAAAGUGCCAGAAUUACAGGUGUGCACCACCGCACCCAGCCAAGGUACCUUUUUCUAAUUCACCCAAAGGCCCCUUGUGGGUGGGUGCAAUGGCUCUGCUCAUGAGGGUCACACAGUCUUCAGGGGUCCUAUCCAACCAGCCCUCACCAGGGGGCCAGCCUGGAACUGAGGUCCUUCAGCGUGAUUUCUUUCCACCUCCCCAGCCAUUACCCCAACAAGAGGCAGGGAAACGGGCUCAGAGAGUGACCUCCCCAAGUCACAUAGCAAUAACUGGGGGCCCAGACUUGAGCCCAACCUCCUGAGUCACAAUCAGUACCAUCAGGCAAGACAUUGUAGAUGGCUGGGCUUUCUGCCCUCAGAUCUGCCUGAGCCCGAAUUAAAAGCCUGCGUGAGCUUUUGUUCUUUCUUGCUCCUUUUCCGCGCUGUCUCCACCCCUGUCCCCACCCACUUGGGAGGCUGGAGGCCAGAGGAGGGCUCCCUUCAAGUGGGAUGUGGCCAUGUGACCACCAUCCAUCAUCUGUCAUCCAUCAUCUGUCAUCUAUCAACCAUAGGGAGCUGGGGGCAAGAUCAGAAAACUGGGCCAUCAAUACAGCUGUCCUUUAUUCCUGCCCCCAGCCAGAGUGCGGAGCAAAGAUCUGAGGGCCAUCUUUGUCCAGUGAGAAACGAGCCCCUGUGGAGCUGCUGGUCCCAGGUUCCGAGUGACUGGGGCUGUGAACCUUCCCUUCCAGACCUGGGCCCCUCCUCAGGAACUCCACUGCCUUCUGCAGAAUCAAUUAUUGAUGAGGUCCCUGCAGUCAGGAGAAUCCCAGCGGAGUCUCCUGGCCACCAUUGGCAGCCUUCACAGGAGGCGAAAUUGCUGGGACAAGAUGAGCUCGUUCCCGAAGACAGGGCCAGUGAGUUGUGCCAGGCUGUGGCUUCCAGUGAGCAGAGGCCUAGUGUACCCUCAGGCUAGGGGUGCCAACCACCUGUCAGGGAAGAGGGAGCCCAGACCUGGUUUGCCUCCCAGACCACCCACCAUGUAUCCCAGAAGACAAGGGGUGAGCCUGCUGACAGUGCCCAGGGACAGGAGUCCCAUGCCUGCUCCCUCACCUUCCUGGGGCCCAGGCUUAGACACUGGCUGGUGGCCCUGAAUACUGAGGGGGUGCCUGGACAAAGGGGAGGAGGCCAGGAAGGGUCUGUGCUGCCUGGAAGGAGCAUGUGACAGUCAUACGUCCUGGCUGCUCAUCAGUUUCCUUCAGGGGAAGGCUGACAUAUGGGAGAUGACAUUGGUAGGCCACAGCAGAUGGCAGAGGAGCCUGGGAACUGCUGGGAGGGCAUCGCAUCUCACACAGUGCCUGAAGCGGCAGGUGUCUGUGUGUGUGUGUGGCGGGGAGCGGUGCCCAGGGUCCACCCAGUCUCCAGGAGCCGCUUCUCCCUCAGGAGAGGAGGGGUCCCUCUCUGUGCUGUGAGUUUCUUCCUCUGAAACCCCCCACAUGUCUUCUCUCAUCCCUGUCCUGGGCUCCCUUGGUUGCUGUGUCUCUCUGCAGUCCCCUCCAAGCCUGGGAUUCCUUGGCUACCUGUCAGCAUCCCCGGGGGCCCAGGACUUCAAGAGCUGGAGGGAGCUGCCUCCCAGUCUAGCCCUGCCUGUGUGGACCCAGGGCUUAUGCCCCAUGCCAAGCCUGGCUCACCUGUGAAAAUGGGGUCGGGCUGGCAUCUGCCGUGUGGGCUGCGGGAGGAGUGAAUGGGAGAAUGCAAAGGGCUGGGCCAGAAAGGGGGCUCCAGGAAAGCUGAAUGCAUGAACAAGUAAGAAUUAGUGCAGCCUGGGCAACACAGACCCUAUCUCUGUGAAAUUAAAAAAAAAAUUAAAAAUUAGCUGGGCAUGCUGGCUCAUUCCUGUAGUCCCAACAACUUGGGAGGCUGGGGUGGGGGGAUUGCUUGAUGAUGGAAAGUUGCACUGAGCUAUGAUCACGCCAUUGCACUCCAGCCUGGGUAACAAUGCGAGACCCCAUCUCAAAAAAAAUGAGAAUUAGUCAAUGAAGCCAGGUGCAGUAGUGCACCUGUAGUCCCAGCUGUUCAGAAGGCUGAGACAGGAGGAUUGCUUGAGACCGGGAGUUUGAG
rnacentral:lncRNA from 10 species